ACCUGGGUGGUUCAGUCGGUUAAGCAUCUGACUUCGGCUCAGGUCAUGAUCUCGCGGUUCGUGGGUUUGAGUCCCACAUCAGGCU
rnacentral:tRNA from 1 species